ensembl:lncRNA
CCAGGUGUCAAACACAAGGUAGGACAAUUUAAACAAACUGUGCCAUGAUCAUAAUACGUAUACACAUCAUGACUGAUAGGGGGCGCUGUGUUGAAGUCACGUGCCAACAACAUAGCACUCUCCAACCAUUGCAAAAAAAAAAAAAUUGGAGGCAAAGAAAUGCAUUAAUUCUACUUUGUUUUUGCCAAUUAUUCAUUAAACAACCUUAAUGCAUACCUUUUUAAAUGAGAUAAAAAAAAUGUAAAUUGUAUUUUCAUUCUUCAAGUAUAAUUUGUUUGUUUAAGUUCUAAUGUUAUUGUCCCCCUAAACAAAAUUCCUAAAUAUGGGAUUUUUGUCCUUGAGAGACAUUGUUAAUUGAAAUGGAAGAUUCCAUUCAUUCCUAUGGAGGACUGCUUCUACUGUACUAAUAUGGCCGACCGGUGGCUUUAAAAGCCGUCAUUGCAUCAAACUAUAUCAUCAUGGCCAAUACACAGCAGCUAUACAAAUCAUUUGGCCAAUACACACAUCUAUACAUCAUGUGGCCAAUACAACAGCAUCUAUACAUCAUUGGCAUACACAGCAGCUAUACAUCAUUGGCCAAUACAACAGCAUCUAUAACAUCAUUGGCCAAUACAACAGCAUCUAUACUCAUUGCCAAUACACAGCAUCUAUACUCAUUGGCCAAUACACAGCAUCUAUAACAUACAUUGGCCAAUACACAGCAUCUAUACAUCAUUGGCCAAUACACAGCAUCUAUACAUCAUUGGCCAAUACACAGCAUCUAUACAUCAUUGGCCAAUACACAGCAUCUAUACAUCAAUUGGCCAUACACAGCAUCUAUACAUCAUUGGCCAAUAAACGCAUCUAUACUCAUUGGCCAAAUACACAAGCAUCUAACAUCUGGCCAAUACACCAGCAAUCCAGCGGUUUCUUUUCUUCUUACAUCAUUGGUCAUGAGCUUGUUGGGACUAAUACAGUGAACAAUGUUGUAGGUUUAACAACCAUCGUUUGUUGUGUUCUAUAACAAACACUUCAGUUCCUUUUUACACAAUUAAUCGGUCCUCAAAAGUAUGGGAGGUCAUUUUUUUGAAGGAUGAUGGACUUUAAAUUAAAUUUUUUUGUUUAAAAACUUUUAGACCAUUUGUUGGAGGGGGAUAGUAAAUCAAGUGGGUUUAAUGUUACUCUUAGUCACAAUGACUUUUAUUUUGUUUCAUUUGAACAACUUCUUUGCUUCCAGGCAGCGUAGUUCUGACAGCUUAAUUAAUGACAAUAUUAUAAUUUAUAUGCAGUGUGUUUUUUUUUGUUUUUUUUAAAGCCCAAUGCAUGAUUUCAGAAGGAUGAGCCAAAUUGAUUUGUGACCUAAGGUGGGAGACCAGUGUCCUCUCAGCACCAUCCUGCAGCCUCAAGGGUCCCCCCCCCCCCCCUCUUUUUACAUUGGAGUGAGUUACAAGCAUCAUCCCCCUUGCCUGCCUCGUCAGAACCACUUGGAAGUGUGUAGGGUGUGACAUUGGGUUAAAAAGCACAGACUUUUUUUUUUUUUCUCCCUUUUUGCUAGAUUACUGUCACACACCCUUUUGUCUUAACUGUGGAGUCAAUGAUUUGUUUCUCCCUCCUCUAAAAGCGCUGUAGUUUUCUGGAUGUCUGUUUUGUGCUCGUAGUGUGUCCUGCCGGAGCAGUGUUUACUACUGUCUGCCCCGUGCUGAAGUCCAAGCCUUAGCCCUUAAAGGACACCCAGCUGCAGCAGUGCACGACCUUCUCGGGCUCCAACUACCCCCCCCCCCAGCAGGCGUCUGUAGGAAAAGCAAAGACUUCACCUCAGACCUUAACUAUUGGAGUGACAUACUACAGUACCUACCUGCCAGGGACCAUUUGACCAGCAGGUAAUUAAACCUUUUUUUUUUUUUUUUUACGAGGCAAGUCGGUUCAAACAGAUUCCAUUUACAAUGAGGGCCUAGGAACAGUGGGUUAAUGACUGAUUUCUACCUUGUCAGCUCGGUUGAUUUGAUCUAGCAACCUUUUCGGUUAUUGGCACAACGCUCUAACCACUAGGCUACCCUGCCGCCUCCCUAAUGCUGCUACAAGGUCUCAAGUGACCAACUGACCACUCUCUCUCUCUCUCUCUCUCUAGAACUAAACAUCUAUUCUAGAACUAAACAUCUAUUCUAGAACUAAACAUCUAUUCUAGAACUGUGGAAGGAAUGAAAUAGAAUGCACCCGGACCAUAUUAUAGACACCUUUUUGGAAUGUGUGUGCGGGAAGACCUUUUUUUUUUUUAUAUAAAGAUGUGUGUGUAUCAUGUGACAAAAUAGUGGUGGUCCACAAUGUGACCUGCUGUGUUUUUUUUGAAAGGGAACAGGAGACCAGCUGGGUUGAGGAGAGGGUGUGUGGGGGAAGGGGACUUCCUGGUUUGAUAAAGAUGGAUGACGAGUGUAAAGGAAAAAUUAUAAAUAAAUGAAAAAAAAGAGUGGAAGUACAGUUCUCUCUGAGUCGCUAGAUGUUGUAUUCUUCUAUCAAAUCACUACCAUGUUUUGAUGACUUAAAUGAUGUUUUGAUGACUUAAAUGACGUAAUUCUAUCUAUGUACUGAACACAAUUCAAAAGGCAGUCGCACAUCUAAGCAAUCUCUUCUUUUUUUGCAGGUGCGUGACAACAGUUUGGAACAAGAUGAAGGAAAAAGGAAACUGCACACUGCUCUUGAUAGUAUCACUGAUCUUCACGUAUGGGCCUCAACCUCUGACGAAGGCCGUGAGGCCGAUACGUAAAAGCCAAGUAUCACUGCUAUUUAAUAUCAAGAGCCGUGUGCAGCUUCAUUUUUCCUUUACCUGUGUUCUGAACGACAUGUGAAGUGUUGGUUUUCAUGAGCUGAAAUUAAAAAAAAUCCCAGAAAUGUUCCAUAUUCUCAAAAAA